AUUGAACGCCGGCGGCAUGCUUUACACAUGCAAGUCGAACGGUAACAGGGAGCUUGCUCCGCUGACGAGUGGCGAACGGGUGAGUAAUAUAUCGGAACGUACCCAGAAGUGGGGGAUAACGUAGCGAAAGUUACGCUAAUACCGCAUACGAUCCACGGAUGAAAGUAGGGGACCUUCGGGCCUUAUGCUUUUGGAGCGGCCGAUAUCUGAUUAGCUAGUUGGUGAGGUAAAGGCUCACCAAGGCGACGAUCAGUAGCUGGUCUGAGAGGACGACCAGCCACACUGGAACUGAGACACGGUCCAGACUCCUACGGGAGGCAGCAGUGGGGAAUUUUGGACAAUGGGCGCAAGCCUGAUCCAGCAAUGCCGCGUGAGUGAAGAAGGCCUUCGGGUUGUAAAGCUCUUUUGUCAGGGAAGAAACGGGAGUGGCUAAUAUCCAUUCUUAAUGACGGUACCUGAAGAAUAAGCACCGGCUAACUACGUGCCAGCCGCCGCCGUAA
rnacentral:rRNA from 1 species